UUCAAAUUUCUAGAUGAACCUGAACCCGAUCUGAUGUUAUAAACGUGUCAGAAUCUCAAACUCAAACCCGACUCUUAUGACAAAUGGAUUGACACAAAUCUAAACUUUUUUUUUUUAUUGAUUUUAGAAGAAUCAAAAUUUGACACCUCCAAAAAAUGCUGAGUCUCAUCCCAAUCUCGCACAGCGAAUACAUUCAUAUAUCGACACCUUUUUUUGUGGUGAAACAACAAUAAAAAAAUUUGAAGAAAAUAUAAAUCUUCACGUUUUAGCAUAAAUUUAUUGCACGCUAACCCUCGUCCCUCGCUCGGCGCCACGAAGUCCCCGAAACUGGAAUGGCGGAUAUAUGAGGGCCGUGAGGCACACUGACCGAAGGCGGACAUCGCCGUCAUGAUACUGGUGAAGAACAUCUUUGAAUUGAGAGCCAAUACCCUUUGUCGAGCUCUCCACCUCCGCAGUUCGUUCGUGUAUUACGUGACGAAGACGACAUUGAUCUCAGCAAACGCCGUGUUUCCGAGGGAUAUCCCCGCCUGCGUGGAGCGCUGCAGCAAAAGCAAGCUAGUCCUCUCCAUCACGCGGCAUGUCUCCGAGACCAUCAGGAUCGACCUUGACGAUUUCUAAGUUCGGCCACGCCUUUGAGUCUUUUAAGACGAUCGUCUCAGAUCCAGAUUCAGUUCUGCACUCUCUUACAAGGUAAGCAAAGAAAUCUGAGAUUUAAUGCUGACUUCUGUGAAGAUGUGGGCUUAUGCAACUGAAGGUUUUGUACAAUUGACGAAAUUGGUAUAUGCUUUGAUCGGGAAAGUGAAAGGAUCGCUCGUGAUGAAUAGUUGGGGGAGGAUAAGCUUCCUGCGGGGCAGAUAGCUAAGCUACAAUCUACCAAUGGUGUGAAAUUAUUACACCGGAUACCGUCCGGAGGCAAAUCAGGAUGCGUCACAUCAUCAAUUUACUAUGUAGUGUACUAUGUAUCGCUGUGUAUCGGGUGACCGCACGUAAUAAUUUCUCCUACCAAUGACUGAGUUGAUGGAGAUGUAUAGGGCAUAGAAGGAGAAGAUGCAGUAAUGGAGAACUGAAUAUUAAAAACUUUGACAUUUCGGAUGGAAUCAAUCAAGCUUUUUUGGUUUUUUCAAA